AUCCAGCUGACGAGUCUCAAAUAGGACUAAACAAGUGUUCUGGAU
rnacentral:hammerhead_ribozyme from 1 species